rnacentral:tRNA from 1 species
GCCUGGCUGGCUCGGUUGGUGGAGCAUGUGACUCUUGAUCUCAGGGUCAUGAGUUCAAGAGCCCCAUGUUGGGUG